AGUGAACGCUGGCGGUAGGCCUAACACAUGCAAGUCGAACGGCAGCACAGUAAGAGCUUGCUCUUACGGGUGGCGAGUGGCGGACGGGUGGGGAAUACAUCGGCAUCUACUUUUUCGUGGGGGAUAACGUAGGGAAACUUACGCUAAUACCGCAUACGACCUACGGGUGAAAGCAGGGGAUCUUCGGACCUUGCGCGAUUGAAUGAGCCGAUGUCGGAUUGGCUAGUUGGCGGGGUAAAGGCCAACCAAGGCGACGAUCCGUAGCUGGUCUGAGAGGAUGAUCAGCCACACUAGAACUGAGACACGGUCCAGACUCCUACGGGAGGCAGCAGUGGGGAAUAUUGGACAAUGGGCGCAAGCCUGGUCCAGCCAUACCGCGUGGGUUAAGAAGGCCUUCGGGUUGUAAAGCCCUUUUGUUGAGAAAGAAAAGCAGCAGGUUAAUACCCCGCUGUUCUGACGGUACCCAAAGAAUAAGCACCGGCUAACUUCGUG
rnacentral:rRNA from 1 species